rnacentral:lncRNA from 1 species
UAUGACCAGAUAGUCUGGUGAUCUCAUCAAUCUGAAUAUUAGGUUACUAAGUUUUAAAAUCUAAUUUCAUAUGUAAUCACAUCAAUAUGCAAUUUUGAUAAAAUAAUUUGUCAUGAAUAUAUCCUUGAUCUUAUCAAUCAUGUUCUUCAUCUAAUCUAAUUAAAUUUGAUGCUUCAUAUAUAUUAUAUCAGAUCUGAAACACAUCUUAUACUGAUUAUAAAAUAUCAAUUUUAGAUCUAGUAUCAUAUAAAAAAUUAAUUAGAUGCAAACAUGAACGCAUAAGG